CCCACACACGUAACCCUAACCCUAUCUCCAGAGUCCAGACCCAUCUCCCUCGACUCCCCUCGCAUCUCUCCAUCGCCAGCCUUCCUUCCCCUCACCAGACCCCCUGUGCUCCAGUCCGCCACGACAGGCCCCUGCGCUCCCUUCUCCACCUCUCCCAUCAACCUCGUAGGCACGAUCCCAUGUGCCCAAAGGAGAACGGCGACAAGGCGGCGAUAGUCGUCACCGGGAUCUGUCGCCCGCGCUGCCGCUUCCCUGCCUUCUUUGCCGCCGUCGUCGUCCAUUGCCGCGGAUGCCUCCUCCUCGCUCGCGAGAUGGCUUAUUGCAUGCUACACUGGUCCAACAAGUAGUGUAUUACUUCCUAGAUGAUAUAUGCAUCGGACAAUGGAAUGAUUCAUGUCAUUCGUCAAUCAAUGCUAGGCUCUGUAUUAUCCAAUAUAUUAGUACUUGGAUGUGUUCUUUUUUCAUGGAUGUCUUGCCCAUCCUAAUAGAGACCAGUAAACAAAGAAUCGGUGUGUCACAUCAACAGGAUAAUUUUGUUGCAUCUAAUCAUGAAUACAAAUCAUAUUAUUUUGUUGACAACACAAUCAUCAGUUCUAAAGUCUGCCUCUAAGUCAACGAAAGACACUCCCAAGGUCAGAACCACCAUUUGUAAUUCUAAGUCUCGCUUUCAUGGUAGUUGGAAUUGGCGUCGCCACCACCAGCACGAGCAUUGUUGGUGCAAAGGAUGAUCUGAAGCACCUAGAAGAAGCAGAGGACAGGACAGGAGGGGGGAACAAGAAGCUUCGUUUAUCAUUGAUGUUAUGUGUGAUCAACAAAAACUUGUGCUUCUCAUCCAAUCUUUGUCGAACUAUGUUGAUGUGUGAUUAUGCACUUGUUGGGCCCUUUUGCUGUACACCUGCACUUGUAGAACUAUUUUGUUGUGCACUUGUUGGGCCUUGAACCUUUAUGUCUAGAGGAAUCGAUGGAUGAUAUAUUGUAAUUCAUGUGAUGUGCUACUGAAAUGAAAUAUAUACAACUAAUUUGCAGUCU